AACGAACGCUGGCGGCAUGCCUAACACAUGCAAGUCGAACGAGACCUCCGGGCCUUGUGGCGCACGGCGGCGGAACGAGGGGGAAGUAACCCGUAGGUACCGAAUCACUGCCCGAAAGGGGUGCUAAGACAGGAUAAUGUCAUCGGACCAAAGAGUUAUUGCCGUUGGGUGGGCCCGCGUUGGAUUAGCUGGUUGGUAGGGGAAAAGCCUACCAAGGCGACGAUCGCUAGCUGGUCUGUGAGGAUGAUCCGCCACGCUUGGACUGAGACACGGCCCAGACUCCUACGCAAGGGAGCAGUGGGUGAUACUGGACGAUGGACCAUGGCCUGAUCCCGCCGUGCCGCGUAAGUGCUGAUGGCCUUAGGGUUGUAAAUCUCUUUUAGCCGGGAUGAUAAUGACGGUACCGGGAGAAUAAGCACCGGCUAACUCCGUG
rnacentral:rRNA from 1 species